AUUGAACGCUGGCGGCAGGCUUAACACAUGCAAGUCGAGCGGGGGAAGGUAGCUUGCUACCGGACCUAGCGGCGGACGGGUGAGUAAUGCUUAGGAAUCUGCCUAUUAGUGGGGGACAACAUCUCGAAAGGGAUGCUAAUACCGCAUACGUCCUACGGGAGAAAGCAGGGGAUCUUCGGACCUUGCGCUAAUAGAUGAGCCUAAGUCGGAUUAGCUAGUUGGUGGGGUAAAGGCCUACCAAGGCGACGAUCUGUAGCGGGUCUGAGAGGAUGACCCGCCACACUGGGACUGAGACACGGCCCAGACUCCUACGGGAGGCAGCAGUGGGGAAUAUUGGACAAUGGGGGGAACCCUGAUCCAGCCAUGCCGCGUGUGUGAAGAAGGCCUUAUGGUUGUAAAGCACUUUAAGCAAGGAGGAGGCUACUUUAGUAAAUACCUAGAGAUAGUGGACGUUACUCGCAGAAUAAGCACCGGCUAACUCUGUGCCAGCAGCCGCGGUAACAC
rnacentral:rRNA from 1 species